rnacentral:tRNA from 1 species
CCGUCAUUAGCUCAACUGGAUAGAGCUCAGAGUGUCUGUCUACUUCUGGAGAUCGGGGUUCGAAUCCUCGGUGACGGAUCA